rnacentral:rRNA from 1 species
GAUGAACGCUGGCGGCGUGCCUAAUACAUGCAAGUCGAGCGAAUGGAUUGGGAGCUUGCUCUUAUGAAGUUAGCGGCGGACGGGUGAGUAACACGUGGGUAACCUGCCCAUAAGACUGGGAUAACUCCGGGAAACCGGGGCUAAUACCGGAUAACAUUUUGAACCGCAUGGUUCGAAAUUGAAAGGCGGCUUCGGCUGUCACUUAUGGAUGGACCCGCGUCGCAUUAGCUAGUUGGUGAGGUAACGGCUCACCAAGGCAACGAUGCGUAGCCGACCUGAGAGGGGGAUCGGCCACACUGGGACUGAGACACGGCCCAGACUCCUACGGGAGGCAGCAGUAGGGAAUCUUCCGCAAUGGACGAAAGUCUGACGGAGCAACGCCGCGUGAGUGAUGAAGGCUUUCGGGUCGUAAAACUCUGUUGUUAGGGAAGAACAAGUGCUAGUUGAAUAAGCUGGCACCUUGACGGUACCUAACCAGAAAGCCACGGCUAACUACGUGCCAGCAGCCGCCGUAA